ensembl:misc_RNA 7SK 7SK RNA
GGAUGUGAGGGAUACCUAGCUGCGACAUCUGUCACCCCACUGAUAGCCAGGGUUGAUUCGGCUGAUCUGGCUGGCGAGACCAGGAUCCCCUUCCUCCCUCAACAGCUCCACGUGCGUCCCUCCCCAAGAUGCGUGCUCCGCAAAGAGGACAGCCUUCCCAGAAUAGAGACAGACCAGUCAUCGGUGGAGGUUUUAGGACGAGUAGCUGCGCUCCCCUCAUAGAACCUCCAAACAAGCUCUCAAAAUAAGAUUUUUUUUUUAAUUCAGGGAAAGUUGCAGAAUUUCCUCACUUGGCACAAUUCUUGAUGACCUAGAACAGUCUCAGUU